GACGAACGCUGGCGGCGUGCUUAACACAUGCAAGUCGAACGGUGAAGCUCCAGCUUGCUGGAGUGGAUCAGUGGCGAACGGGUGAGUAACACGUGAGCAACCUGCCCCUGACUCUGGAAUAAGCGCUGGAAACGGCGUCUAAUACUGGAUACGAGAAGGGUCCGCAUGGGCACUUUCUGGAAAGCUUUUCGGUUGGGGAUGGGCUCGCGGCCUAUCAGCUUGUUGGUGAGGUAAUGGCUCACCAAGGCGACGACGGGUAGCCGGCCUGAGAGGGCGACCGGCCACACUGGGACUGAGACACGGCCCAGACUCCUACGGGAGGCAGCAGUGGGGAAUAUUGCACAAUGGGCGAAAGCCUGAUGCAGCGACGCCGCGUGAGGGAUGACGGCCUUCGGGUUGUAAACCUCUUUCAGCAGGGAAGAAGCGAAAGUGACGGUACCUGCAGAAGAAGCACCGGCUAACUACGUG
rnacentral:rRNA from 1 species